GAUGAACGCUGGCGGCGUGCCUAAUACAUGCAAGUCGAGCGAACGGAUGAGAAGCUUGCUUCUCUGAUGUUAGCGGCGGACGGGUGAGUAACACGUGGAUAACCUACCUAUAAGACUGGGAUAACUUCGGGAAACCGGAGCUAAUACCGGAUAAUAUUUUGAACCGCAUGGUUCAAUAGUGAAAGACGGUCUUGCUGUCACUUAUAGAUGGAUCCGCGCUGCAUUAGCUAGUUGGUAAGGUAACGGCUUACCAAGGCAACGAUGCAUAGCCGACCUGAGAGGGUGAUCGGCCACACUGGAACUGAGACACGGUCCAGACUCCUACGGGAGGCAGCAGUAGGGAAUCUUCCGCAAUGGGCGAAAGCCUGACGGAGCAACGCCGCGUGAGUGAUGAAGGUCUUCGGAUCGUAAAACUCUGUUAUUAGGGAAGAACAUAUGUGUAAGUAACUGUGCACGUCUUGACGGUACCUAAUCAGAAAGCCACGGCUAACUACGUG
rnacentral:rRNA from 1 species